GGAACUGCCUGAUGGAGGGGGAUAACUACUGGAAACGGUAGCUAAUACCGCAUAACGUCGCAAGACCAAAGAGGGGGACCUUCGGGCCUCUUGCCAUCAGAUGUGCCCAGAUGGGAUUAGCUAGUAGGUGGGGUAACGGCUCACCUAGGCGACGAUCCCUAGCUGGUCUGAGAGGAUGACCAGCCACACUGGAACUGAGACACGGUCCAGACUCCUACGGGAGGCAGCAUG
rnacentral:rRNA from 1 species